CUGAUUUGGUCGUCUGGCUACCAGCAGCAUGAAGCGAACCCAAGCACAUGCGCAGAUAGUGUGUGUGACAGUGUGAGGGCGAAGUCUUGCAUCUUGCUCAUAUCAAUAUCUGCGGAAUUGCUCGUGGCAACAUAAUUACGCUUGCUGAGCCUGAACGGCGUUUUCACAUAUGCAAUUUGGUACCCUGGUUUGAUUUCCUGAAGCGUUUGUGCGAAUUCUACAGAAUACGUUUUGCUUUCACAAGACCCGUGAUUCCCCUGGGAGUAGCAAGACCCACAUUCUACACUCUAUAAAUUAGGGGUUCAACAAGGGUUCUUCUAAGAUCCUCAGAGUUCUUCGAAGAAUCUUAUGGCACUGAAAAUGGUCCCCAAAAUGUUCUUCCAAGAACCCCAUAGGAGUUGGUGUCCAUUGAGGAACCUCCUUAGUUGGUGGGGGUUCUUGCAGGAAUCUAACUGCCCAACUGAAAUAUUUUUGAUUUGAAAGGACAGCAGGUCUACAUUUAAAUUGUUUUAUGAUGAUACCAUCUAUCUUUUCAUAUGUGUGCAAAUCCUUCUAAAACAGAAAAUGGACACAAUUCAUGGAUUUCAAUUGUGAAAGAGAUGAGGAGGCAUACAAAGGUAUGUGCAUUGGUAUUGGUAUGUUAUGAAGAUCACAUUUACCAGCGUCCUCCCUUACCUCUUCAAUGAACAUCCCAUAGGCCUCUACAUUGUGGACAAGACUUAACCCUCCCUACACCUCUGAUGAAUAUAACAGAAAACCUGUUCGAUCACCAUGCACUACAAAAUCAUUCUGGCUAUGGAAACGGAGAACAUCAACACAUUAAUAUCAACACGCCAGAGAAUAUACCCAUUGGACUUGGGGCUCUGCCGGGACUUUACCUGAUAUUUAGAUUUUUUUAUUCUGCUUUGCCACCAAAAUCGUAACACU